GCCCACUGCUUGGGAGAACCCACUGCUCCCUGGUAAAGCAAGAUGAUGAAAAGAAAAAAUGAAGUGGGAUUUCCCAGUACACUUUUGGCAGACGGGAAGCAACAAGCUUCAUUUGCAGCUAAUGAAACAAAGGAACAUCUUUUCAGCCAAUUACUACUGUGCUUCAUAAAUGUGUUUUCAUGUUUGAAGAUAUUUCAAUAUAGAGUACAACUCCCACAAAGAAAGUGAUUUCUGUUAUAUGGUACCUGGAAAUGACUUC